CCUACGGGAGGCAGCAGUGAGGAAUAUUGGUCAAUGGGAGGAAUCCUGAACCAGCCAUGCCGCGUGCAGGACGACGGCUCUACGAGUUGUAAACUGCUUUUGUCCCGGGGUAAAAUGCUCUACGAGUAGGGUUUUGCACGUACGUUACGAAUAAGGAUCGGCUAACUCCGUGCCAGCAGCCGCGGUAAUACGGAGGAUCCGAGCGUUAUCCGGAUUCAUUGGGUUUAAAGGGUGGGUAGGUUGUUUUAUAAGUUAGCGGUGAAAUACCGAUGCUCAACAUCGGGGCUACCGCUAAUACUGUAGGACGAGAGAUCGGAUGAAGAGGCGGAAUGUGUAGUGUAGCGGUGAAAUGCAUAGAUAUUACACAGAACACCGAUUGCGAAGGCAGCUUGCUAGGGCGGAUCUGACACUGAUGCACGAAAGCGUGGGGAUCGAACAGGAUUAGAUACCCGGGUAGUC
rnacentral:rRNA from 1 species